CUUGGUCAUUUAGAGGAUGCUCCGUAGGUAACAAGGUUUCCGUAGGUGAAAUGCUCGUAGAUGCGCGUCGAAAUCCAAUAAUUGCUGGAGAACGCUUAUGCUCGUGAUAGGCCUGAUAGUCGUCCGUGAACUUAGAGCGGCGGGCUGUGAUAUAAAUGCGUGUUAUGUUGACAGUGUGUGUAUAAGUUAUCGCUCGUAGUAGUGUCCCUUGGAUCUCUAGGCUCUUGCAACGAUGAAGAGCGCAGCAAAAUGCGAAACGUGAUGCGAUUUGCACGAAUCUGUGAGUCAAUGCUCCGUGAUAGUCGCUGUAGAGUGCUAUGUAAGUAGCAGUAUGUCUGUUUGAGAAUCGCAAAACACGAUCAACUCUAGUUAAGAGUUGGGAUUGACCUCAUAUGCUCUCUAGUAUAUCUGGUUUAAAUGUAUUAAGUUGAUGAGCUUCCCAAAUCGCUCGUGAUAGUCGCUCGUAGGCAGUCGUCCCGAUCUCACAUUACAGUUUUGAUCGCUCGUAGUAGUCGCUCCUUUUUAUUUAUUCUAUCAAUGCCUGCUGAUAGUGAGGCAAGAUUGCCCGCUGAACUUAAGCAUAUCAAUAAGCGGAGGA
rnacentral:rRNA from 1 species